UUUGCUCAGCUGCUGUUGGUGGGGGGUUUAAAGCUCCCAAGUGCUUGCUAGGCAUGGGUCUUACCAGUCAUGUGCAUCUGCAGCCUCUCAACGGGUUACCCCCACCCCUAGACGGAGUCCGGCCUCGUAUACAGGUGAACUCAUCCUGGAGGUGAAUGCCUGUCUCAGGUGAGAUGCCUUGAUCUUGGAAGGGUGCCUGGAGUGAGUCUUGUCCAGCUCCUGAUCCAGCUACCCAGAUUAAAGAUGCAGGAGUGGAUGGUUCCACUGCACUGAGUGACAGCAGGUAGCCAGAGGCCUGGGGUCAGAAGUGCCUGGAAUGGUGAGAGCCUUCGAAUUCCUGCCACCAGGGGAUGGGCAGUCAACUAGUGGAGCUGCAGGGCUGCCUGGAAGCACACUCAUCUGAGCACAGCAGGUUGAAGUGUGCGGACCAGAUGCAGCUUUGCAUCACCCCUCCCUCCAGGAGGAAGAGCUCUCCCUGCUAAGCUGUGACAAACCCAGCAGCAGCUUGGUGUUGGCAAGGGCAGUCAGCCCCUUAGUGUGCGGUUCUCUGUGUAGUGACUGUUAAAUAAAACAUUUCUGCACAGAGC